CGGAAGAGCCGUCGGGGCCUGAGGACGGGCCGGAACCGGCGCAACAAACCCCCGCUAACCCCGUCAGGUCCGGAAGGAAGCAGCGGUAUGCGGACGAGGAUGUGUCGCCGGAUGCUCUGACCCACCUCCUCAGGCCCCAACUGCUCUUUCG
rnacentral:SRP_RNA from 1 species